UACGGGAGGCAGCAGUGGGGAAUAUUGCACAAUGGGCGCAAGCCUGAUGCAGCCAUGCCGCGUGUAUGAAGAAGGCCUUCGGGUUGUAAAGUACUUUCAGUCGUGAGGAGGGUGUUAAGGUUAAUAACCUUAGCAAUUGACGUUAGCGACAGAAGAAGCACCGGCUAACUCCGUGCCAGCAGCCGCGGUAAUACGGAGGGUGCGAGCGUUAAUCGGAAUUACUGGGCGUAAAGGGCACGCAGGCGGUUAAUUAAGUUGGAUGUGAAAUCCCCGGGCUUAACCUGGGAAUGGCAUUCAAGACUGGUUAGCUAGAGUCUUGUAGAGGGGGUAGAAUUCCAUGUGUAGCGGUGAAAUGCGUAGAGAUGUGGAGGAAUACCGGUGGCGAAGGCGGCCCCUGGACAAAGGCUGACGCUCAUGUGCGAAAGCGUGGGGAGCAAACGAGGGAUUAGAUACC
rnacentral:rRNA from 1 species